rnacentral:sRNA from 1 species
ACCGCCACGGAUGGCGGUGGUUUUAUGCAGCAGCGAGUUCGCAUUGCGAACUCGUAGCCCAAGAAUGUGCAAGGACGCACAUUCUUGGGCGGGG